AGUGAACGCUGGCGGUAGGCCUAACACAUGCAAGUCGAACGGCAGCACAGUAAGAGCUUGCUCUUACGGGUGGCGAGUGGCGGACGGGUGAGGAAUACAUCGGAAUCUACUUUUUCGUGGGGGAUAACGUAGGGAAACUUACGCUAAUACCGCAUACGACCUACGGGUGAAAGCAGGGGAUCUUCGGACCUUGCGCGAUUGAAUGAGCCGAUGUCGGAUUAGCUCGUUGGCGGGGUAAAGGCCCACCAAGGCGACGAUCCGUACCUGGUCUGAGAGGAUGAUCAGGCACACUGGAACUGAGACACGGUCCAGACUCCUACGGGAGGCAGAAGUGGGGAAUAUUGGACACUGGGCGCAAGCCUGAUCCAGCCAUACCGCGUGGGUGAAGAAGGCCUUCGGGUUGUAAAGCCCUUUUGUUGGGAAAGAAAAGCAGCAGGUUAAUACCCCGCUGUUCUGACGGUACCCAAAGAAUAAGCACCGGCUAACUUCGUG
rnacentral:rRNA from 1 species